rnacentral:lncRNA from 1 species
CGAGAAACUGCAUAAUCUUGCUGGAUAUACUGCAUCUGAACAUCUUUAAGCACAUGGAUAAAUUCUACACACAGCAGGAAAGGGCCAGUAAGCACCACUACUUUGCAUUUGGCUACUCCACAUAGCGCUUGACUUCAGAACUUCCAUGAUACAUGAUAUCAAAGUGUGAAGAGCUCCCCUGCCUGUCUCCUAAGGAAAUAAUACUUUUCCUGUUCCUGGAUGAUGCAGAUUGGUGUGGAAUACAAGUGAGCUACCCCUGGUACAGACAAAACAAUAUUUUAACAGGACAUGUCCCUGGCCCCAAAGGGUUUGCAACUUAA